CCUACGGUGUGCAGCAGUGGGGAAUAUUGCACAAUGGGGGAAACCCUGAUGCAGCGACGCCGCGUGAGCGAUGCAGUAUUUCGGUAUGUAAAGCUCUAUCGGCAGGGAAGAAAAUGACGGUACCUGACUAGGAAGCCCCAGAUAACUACGUGCCAGAAGCCGCGGUAAUACGUAGGGGGCAAGCGUUAUGCGGAUUUACUGGGUGUAAAGGGAGCGUGGACGGGUGUACACGACAGAUGUGAAAGCCCGGGGCUCAACCCCGGGACUGCAUUUGGAACUGUGUGGCUGGAGUGUCGGAGAGGCAGGCGGAAUUCCUAGUGUAGCGGUGAAAUGCGUAGAUAUUAGGAGGAACACCAGUGGCGAAGGCGGCCUGCUGGACGAUGACUGACGUUGAGGCUCGAAAGCGUGGGGAGCAAACAGGAUUAGAUACCCCAGUAGUC
rnacentral:rRNA from 1 species